UGACUCGAAUGAGAACUUGUGCGUGGUUGACUUGCAGAAUUGCAGUAACUAUGAACCAAUUAUGUCCUUCAGUUGACCCUUACAAAAGGGCAUUAAAUGGGGUUCACACAAAGUAAACGUUCUUUGAAGUUUUGAAUGUCUAGCUGGUCCUGAUGUUCAUCCAUACUGUGCAGCAGGUAUCUGCUACAUCUUAUCAUCACACAAAUAUCAAUACCGAUAAUUUUGUCCACCAAAGCUUGAGAAAAGGUGACCAACUUGAACAAAUACACACGUCGACUCAAGUUUUUGCAAAAGAUUUACCACAACCAGGUAAGCUUAAGGCAAUAAUAUGCAAUUCUCUAUAGUAACAUGUGAAGACAAAUAGGAAAAUUAUUGGAUCCUUUCCUUUAUUUGUACUUUAUUUGCAUAUUAACACAGCUCAAUUUUGUGCCG